rnacentral:rRNA from 1 species
GGCUCGGUAUAACAGCUGUUGUUUACUAGACCAUAGUUUCUUACUUGGAUAACUGUGGCAAUUCUAGAGCUAAUACAUGCACGAAAGCUCUGACCCUCGAGGAACGAGCGCAUUUAUUAGACCAAAACCAAUCGAGUACUUCGGUACUUGUGUUUUGGUGACUCUGAAUAACUUAGUUGAUCGCACAGUCGUAGUACUGGCGACGUAUCUUUCAAAUGUCUGCCUUAUCAACUUUCGAUGGUAGGUUAUACGCCUACCAUGGUUAUAACGGGUAACGGAGAAUUAGGGUUCGACUCCGGAGAGGGAGCCUGAGAAACGGCUACCACAUCCAAGGAAGGCAGCAGGCGCGCAAAUUACCCAAUCUCAGAACGAGGAGGUAGUGACGAAAAAUAACAAAACAGUCCACUUUGUGGUCUGUUAUCGGAAUGGGUACAAUUUAAAUCUUUUAACGAGGAUCUAUUAGAGGGCAAGUCUGGUGCCAGCAGCCGCGGUAAUUCCAGCUCUAAUAGCGUAUAUUAAAGUUGUUGUGGUUAAAACGCCCGUAGUUGGUUCUUCGGUCUUGAAGCUCGGUAGCUCGUAUGGGCUUAACUGAGUCUUCCGGCCUAUAUUUCUUGUUUUCUCCCGAUGCUCUUUAUUGAGUGUCUCGAGUUACUAGAACGUUUACUUUGAAAAAAUUAGAGUGCUAAAAGCAGGCUAUACGCUUGAAUAAAGUGCAUGGAAUAAUGGAAUAGGACUUUAGUUUUAUUUUGUUGGUUUUCGAAAUUAAAGUAAUGAUUAAGAGGAACAGACGGGGGCAUUCGUAUUGUUGCGUUAGAGGUGAAAUUCUUGGAUCGCAGCAAGACGAAC